UACGACUUGGAGCGCUCUUUAUUUUGAAUAUCUCGCUACUCGUGAUUAACUAUUAUUUGAGGGUUUUCUUCCUUUUGUUCAAACGUGGAGCAUUAACAUACUUAUCUGACGAUUUAUUGACCCAAUAAAAACUCAUCGUUUUUACGUUUUCUUCUCAAUCGAUAUGGGCAAUUUACAUCAUCAGGCGUUCGGGAUUUUUUUGGAAGCAUUUAAUCUUUUUAUGCUUUAUCCAAAUCGUCAGAUUUGUCGUUAUAUUUAUAUUUGUUAUUCAUAUGCUCCAACCAAUAAAUUUGGAUCUAAUUCAUUGAACAUGACGCGGCAGCAUCAUGAUUCGAAUUAACUAAAAGGGAGACGAUUUUGACUAACAUCAUCUCGCCUGAAAGUACGUUCGUGCAUCUCGUUGCUCGAGUCUCAAAUGAAGUUUUAGUAAAAAAAAAAAAAUGUUUCGCGUAUAUUUUCGAAAAAAUCUAAUUUCACCGAAAAAACUUUGUUCCUGCAUUGCCAUAAAAAACUUUUUGUAUAUUAACCUCCUGAAAAAAGUUGUUCCACAAUCGAAACGGUAGUAUUUAGAAAAUUUGACCUUUGGUAAACAUUGAAUUAUGAAAAGUCUCUAAAAAAGACAAAAUUUUCGAUAAAUUCAUUGUGAACGGCAGACAAGAUUGAAAUCGCCUCUGACACCAAUCAAUGAUUGACAUUUGGAAAAAUAGAUUAUAUAAUGAACAAAUGAAAACAAGAUAUUCAGAUAUUAAAAAAACGUCCGAUAUGAAAUAAGUGAAAACCUCGCCGAAAUCGUGUUGCAUAAUCGCGCGUUUCUGAAUCAACAUGGGCGCACGACUCGAUGCUUCCCUACGUAGUUCAAAAUAACUCGAUGACGUACGCACUCUCGCGUACUUGGAUAUACAUUGUGACAAAAAUAUUCGUUACGCUCCAUUUUUUCAACAUAAAAAAACCCUAAGAAAAGAAUUUCAACGCCAUCUCGAUUUCGAGUAGAACAACUAAAGUGCAAAGUCGUAAAAGAAAAUUUUAAACGGACGAAUCGGAUGUUAUUCAUCAUGUGUUAGAUGAAGAAUUGGUGUGGGGCUCAUUCUCCACAAUGUAGGGCGAAGAGUCGGGUUGGAACAGGGAGUAAGACCUUGAAAAAAUGCACUAUUUCGGACGACGUGACUCGAAAACCAUCUCCAAAAUAUUAGCGAUAAAUCCUAAUGGGCUACAGUCCAAAAUGUAUCCUAACGACAUUCAUUGAUGCCUGCGACUAUAACAAUAAAUAUUGUGUAUUGA